AAAGGGAAGGGAUCUCACAUAUUCAAGGAAAUAGGUGAGAAGCGGUCAGAUGGACGUCGAGAAGUGGAGGGAAAUUGCACCACUGUCUACUAUUUUUGAGCUUAUGUACAUGAGAUUUUUAUUAAUGUAAUAGAUGAGAUGCGGUCGGGAGGAACAUCAAGUAGCGGAGGAGAAUGACACCACUGUCUAAGAUUACUUUGUACUUAUUUUUGUUAUCUUGUUACUUAAUGUAGAG